rnacentral:rRNA from 1 species
UAGUUGGUGAGGUAACGGCUCACCAAGGCAACGAUGCGUAGCCGACCUGAGAGGGUGAUCGGCCACACUGGGAGUGAGACACGGCCCAGACUCCUACGGGAGGCAGCAGUAGGGAAUCUUCCGCAAUGGACGAAAGUCUGACGGAGCAACGCCGCGUGAGUGAUGAAGGCUUUCGGGUCGUAAAACUCUGUUGUUAGGGAAGAACAAGUGCUAGUUUGAAUAAG